UCAAAUUUGCUUUUUAAUGUUACCCACAAUAAGAAUUACAUUUUAUAUUGUGACCCAGCACAUACAUUUAUAGAUUUAUAUGUGUAUAACAUACUAUGUAUGUGUAUAUGUUUUAAACACAUAGGGGCAUGUCUACACACAUAAAAAAUGAAACUGAAGGUCUCAUGAAAUAUACUUACCCUUGUCACCUCAGAUGCAUUAUAUUUUUAUUCUAUUUCAUUAAUAAAAAGCAGGUCAAUUCCCACCACAUUGAAGUCAUGACCCACAGUUUGACAAUCUCUCUAAACAGGCACAAUCCUGCACAUUGAGGAACUGCCUCCAGGUGAAUACAGGUGACCGAAUAGGUUAAUGGUUAAAGUUCUGAUCAUCAAAAGAAAAACUUAACUGUGUAGAUGUUAGUCCACAUAUUGAAUGGGUAUGUUAUAAUUUUAGUGAAAAAUUAUGACAUGCUAAAUAAGAACAACCACUGAGUACAAGUAUUCUCCAUCAGUGAACUUACUUGUUUUAAGAUCUGCUUAAUUGAAUCCUUGGUGUUUCAUUCUUCUAAAAGCAAGCUUUUUUUGAAACUUCACUUCAUCUGCUAGACUGGUUUUUAACUCUUCAAUCAAAGGAACCCUCAUUUUUUGAUAAACAGAUCAUCUUCUAUUCAUAAAAAACCCCCUUUAAAGUUUCUGUAGCUUUUGCUAAAAUAAUUUAAAAGAGCCCCUUGGUUUUUUAUAUUUACUUUUAAAAGCACCAUUAAUAAUAUAACGAUUGUGUAAUGUUGUCUUUCCAUUUCCAAAACCUAUUUUAAGGGAAGACACUAUAAGAAGAUUCUAGUCCUUGAAUCUUUUACCGUCUCCUCAAAAUCCUCCGUGGACCCACUAUUGCAGUUUGAAUUCAAGUUUUGGCAUGCCAGGGUUUCAUAGGGAAUUCUUGUGUCUUAGAUGAUACUCAAGAAUCGAGGGUACCAGGUGAUUCAUUUAGGUUCCAUAACACCAUAAUCUAGGGAAGAGAAAACUGUUUUUUUUGUUUUUUAAUCACACACACUUUUGCAUGUGAGCAAUAACCACAGGUAUUAAAGAUAUUUCCAAUAGUUCAAACAUUUAGCUCAGAGAAAUCUCAAAUAUCUUGAACAGGUUACAUUACAAAAUAAUCCCCUUUCAGAUAACAUGUCUAAAUAGGAGAUGAUUAUGGUUUGUUUGUUUUUUAAAAAAACACGACAUAAUCUCCAUUUGGGUAUUUCAAAAAGUUCAUGGAAAUAUUCAUUUUAUCUUUCAAUUCCAUUUCUUCAUGAACUAUAAAAAAUUCUAAAUUAAAUUUAUGAAAGGGUUAAAUCUUAGAUUUGGCUUAUUUCUACUUAUCUUUUAUUAUACCUUAACAGCAUUAUCCUCCUCUAAUGGCAACCAUACAAAAAGACUUGAGACGACCUGUUGCUCUGUGAAGCUGGACCACUGGGAUAGGAGUAUGGCCCAAUUAAUUGCUUUUGUGUACUUGACUUAUCAACUUAUCAACCUUAUCAACUCAACUUUUGUAAUAUCAUCACAAUAUCUGUGUUACUGAAAAUUAAGCUGCACCCAUAACAAUUUGGAUCUGCAGAAAAGAGCCAAAGAACUCCACUUACAGGUCAAUAACUGUUGGCUUCACAUUUCCAGUUUUGAAACCUCUACCUGUCCUUCCCACCAUCACUGCCUUUUCUUCAUUUUUCCAAUCUGACCUGAGCUAAUCUUUCCAAUACAUACAAUUUCCAUCAAAUGUGUUACACUGUUGAAGAGCAAUCAGAAUUUUUUUUCCUGAAAAAACCCUUUUCAAUGUAUAUUCCUGUAAGUUUACUUUCCUAUAUCUAGGUAAGCACCCUGUACUAUUCCUGGGGCUUUUUAUAAAUACCAUCCAUGCUGAUCCAAAUCAAACAGACCUUUAGAGGAUACUGACAAUGACAUCUUCAUUGAAUAUGAUCACUUCUAAAGCUUUAGCUCCUUGUUUGCUGCAUAAUGCUGUGCCAAGAUCUUGGCCUUUAGAUGUUCCCAGAAUCCCUGGAAACAUGACUUAUUUGUUGGUGGGUAUAGCUUUAGAAUGGUUUUACAUCCGCAACAAAAUCUGAGGAUGCACAAAGCAGUGUGAGUCUCUUACUGGGCUGGAAUUAUUUUUCUUAGUUAGAAGAACCGAAUUUUAAGUAAUAACCUAUGUUGGUGCAUUUAUGAAAUACACCAGAAGUAAAACAGAUUAAAAUAAUUUGCUAUAGCAGGAUUCCUUUUCUUUCAACCUUAGGUAUUAAAAUUUUUCUUCUGAAUAUUAAAGUCAUUAGCAUUUUUAAAUUCUAAGGAAUACUGAGGAACUCACAAUGUUUAACUUUUAAAAUAUAAAUUUAAAAAGCUAUUUUUCUUUUUUCAUAUCCUAGCCCGAUGACUUAAAGAUAUCAGCAGAGUAUCAUAAAAAUAACCCUAACACUCAAAAUGAGCUUUAUUUAAUAUCACAAAGGCUAAACAUCACAGUUCUAUCAUCAGAAAAUACUAAGAGUAUGAGAAGAAAUAACUUUUCACAAUUUCCCUUCAAAGCUUUUAAAAUAGUACACUAGUAUUUGAUUCCCUUCUAUUUUGGCUACAUUUUCAGUAACAGAACAAAAGCAUUUAAAAAUAAAUAUGGGUCCUUUAAAAAAACAAAGGAAAACGAAAAGUCAAAACCAAGAACCAAGCAUUCUCGCAUCAGUGGGAACAGGGAGGGAGAGGGGCUGAGCAGAGUUGGUUUGUUAGAUAGCAUGGAAGCCACAAUUCCUUCCCCACUUGCCCUCCAGCAUAUGCCAGCCUUGGUGCCAGGGUGGCAGGGCACUGCAGCAUGUGGAGAGGCAGACAGUUUUGCUGGCUUCCACUUGUUCCUCAGGCUGAAGUCCAAGCAGAAGUUGGACUUGCAGGGUUCCUGUCACCCUGCCAAUCCAUGGCACUCUUGGGACACUGCUAGGAGAGCCAAAUCCUGCAUGAGAAGUCACCUCCUCCACAUUCUCUUCAAUGUUAGGGGGUUAGACUAAAGGAAACCCCUUUUAUCAGAUUUUUUGGUGUUUGUGCACUAGCCAAAGUAAGAGAAAAAAAGAAGGCAAUUUAACCUCAUGAGAUAGAAAGGAAAGGUUUCUUCAAAGUAGUUGACCAGGGAAUAAAGCCCAGCAUCCCUAAAUCUCAGCUCAGUGUACUAUUUAUUCAUUUAUCAGUAGGUUUUAGAAAUUUAAAUAAUUAUGAUCCUAUCUACUUCGGGCCAUCAGAUCAUUACUUUCUCAGAGAGAAUGGCCCAAUGCCAUUGGUGCACAAAUCCACAAAAAUCUAUGUGCUACUUGAUGAUGAUUAAUACACAAAGAAUAUACGGAGCUCCAUAGUAUAGACACAAAUUUAAAAAGCAGAUAUUCUCAAAAGAGGCCUUCAUUUGCCAUUCUAAGGCUAUUAAUGAGAAAUCUUACUUUUAAUAGGUUUCCUCAAUCAGCACCUGUGUAUGUAGAUACUCAGAUGGAUACUCAUAUAUAUAUGUAUAGAUGUUCAGGAAAAAAACAUGAUCAUCUCAUAUAUGCAUGAAAUCUCUUCUAGGAACCAGUAAAGACAAUGAAUUUGUAAGGAACAUUUAAAUUGUAUUGUACUUUUUAAAAGAAAAGUGAAAAUCAUAAUCUUACAUAAUUUCCUUCAAAUGGAUAAACUUAGACAACUUAUCAAUGCUUCCUUAAAUUUUUACACCACACUGAACUCCAACAGGUUUUUGUUUUAAGGUAAACCAGGUUUUUGGUUCUUCCCUGUGGAGAAGUUACUUUCAAGUCAGUAAAAGUUCUUGGCCCAUGAUUAAAAGUCUUUGCCAAUUAGUACUCAACAACUUCAAUUCAUUUUUUUCUAGUUCAAGAUGAGUAGGAGCCUAAUAAGGCUGUGAUAAAAGGGCAAAAGGCACUGAGAGCCAAAAGCGGAUUAAUGAGCUCCUCCAUUUAUUUGUCUUCCUAACAGCUGAACUGUUACAACUAUUGACACUCUUCAAAAGGUUCCGCUCUGAACC